GAAAGAAAAGGUCACUUUACAGUGACUCAGUUUCCUCCUCAGUCCCGGUGAUGAUUAGAAAUCUUCCCUGUGGUCAUCCCUACAUUCAGCCGAGGAUGGAGCUGGCCAUCGUCUUAAGCCCCUCCUCAUUCAAUCUAUCAGGAGGGGAUUUGCUUCUCCAGCCCUGCGAGAUGUAGUUCCAGUUUAUCUUGGGAGUUGAUGGGAAAAUCAGAUUUCCUUUACAGAAGGCCAUUUUAUAGUCGGUCCGGUUGGCCUCCAUUAGUCUUAUAAAGCAAGGAUUCCCAGCAUUCCCCCGGGCAGGUGGGGUGAGGGGCUUUUAGAGGGGAAGCUCCCCCGCCCACCGCCAGUCUGUUGGGGCAGAGGCGGGAGGAUUGUGCGUACAGCAUAAUAGCUAGCCUUCGAUAACAAACGAAUGCCUAAGGUUUUUCCCGGUGCUUUACAAAUCUUCGGAGCAAAGCAACCCUGGGAUGGAGGGUGGGCACCCUUAUUCUUUCAUUUUGCGGAUGAGGAAACUGAGGCAGACAAAAGUGAAGCGACUUGCCCAGGGCACUCAACUAGGAAGUGUCUGAGUCUUGCUGACUAGCAGUGACUAGUGGAUCUACCCAAGAUCCACUUGGAUGCCCAGCUGCAUCAUGGCCCCAGCGGAUUGGACAUACUUGGGGUCAAGGAGAAUUGGGUUCAAAUCUUGCUUCCCAGACUUAGUAGCUGUGUGACUCUAGUCAAGUCCCGUAAACUCUCCUGGCUGGCCUCAGUUUCCUCACCGGACAAUGCAGGACGGUUGGGCUCUCUGGUCUUUAAGUCCGUGAUCCAAGUGCGCCCCGCCCACAGGUGAUGGUGGUUCUGAGCUUCUCUUUCUCAGCACUGGCAAUGCUCCCUAGACCCCCAGUUCCCCUCCACCUCCUCUUUGCCCAUAUUACUCUCAUGUGGGAAUCACAAGAUCUGGGCCAUUGUGGAAGAGAUAAAAGCCUUCAUGAUCAUCACAAGUUGGAAAAGCCACCCAUGGGGGAAUGCACAAGUCAACAGAGAUGAGAAAUGCCGAAAGCCAGAGUGCCUCAGGAAACAGCAGAGCCACCAGGGAUCCCAGGUACCAGUCUGUCUCACCCUGUUAAUGUGCUCCAUGGAAAUGAUCUUGGCUUCACCUGAUGGCACCCAGGACCAUCUGCCUUCACAUCAUCUGGCAGAACCCUGGCCUUGGAUUCCACCUUGAUGGCACAGAUUCAUGGAAUGCAGCACAAAACCCAGUGGAUCCUCCAGGACCCAGAUGUCACGCUACUCCCUGGGACAUACUUUCCUUGCCCGCUCUGGCAGUCUCGGUCCCCAAGCCAUGUCCCUGCCAUGUCGACACUGUCCUAGGAGCCUGGCGUAACUAUUGAGGGGGCCCAAAGGACCCCCUGAAACCGGGUGGCUCUGUGCUGUCUGAUAUUUUAAUGGCUUUGACCAGUCAGCCGGGUACCACGCAUGGGACAUUGUUGGCUUACAGCAGCCAGCCUGGGAGGGAGGUGCCUCAUUCAGGGCUCUGCAUCGAAGGCGCCCUUUCACCUACACCCAAGUGUUGGGAACCAUGCAAUGGAACACAGCCCAGGCUCUUGGGGCCAAUGACUGGCCACUCUUCCAAGAACAAAGGAAUUCAUCCAUAAGAAAAAAAUGGCAGGCCACACUGAUUCUGGGAAUGGGGUCAAUUCUGCCCCAGUUGGCCCCGUUGACCAGUUUGGGGCCAGAGAAUGGGUGAAUUGCUGCCUUCAGGGGGCACUGGUCUCCCUUGUGAGUAAUCAUUGACAUUGAAGACUGAAAUAGGUGACUUGAUGUCCAUUCAAUCUGAGCUUUGGUGGGAAGUUGGGAAAGGGGUCAAUCCUGCCUCAGUUGGCCUUGUGGGCCAGUUUGGGGCCAGAGAAUGGGUGACUUGCUGCCUUCAGGGGGCACUGGUCUCCCUCAUGAGUAGUCAAGGAAUAAUGAAGACUCUGAAAUUGGUGACUUGAUGUCUAUUCAAUUUGAGCUUUGGUGGGAAGUUGGGAAAGGGGUCAAUCCUGCCUCAGUUGGCCUUGUGGGCCAGUUUGGGGCCAGAGAAUGGGUGAAUUGCUGCCUUCAGGAGGCACUGGUCUCCCUUAUGAGUAGUCAAGGAACAAUGAAGACUCUGAAAUUGGUGACUUGAUGUCUAUUCAAUUUGAGCUUUGGUGGGAAGUUGGGAAAGGGGUCAAUCCUGCCUCAGU
ensembl:lncRNA